UACGUUAACGUUACAUUGUCAGCACUGGUUUUAGUGGCACCUCACUAGCCGGGUAGCAUUUAGCUUCAGCGUAGCUGCGAAAUCUUUGAUGUGCCUACCCGCUCCGGACCGAAGAAAAGAAUUUCAGGAACUUACAUGAUGUUACAAGACUACUUGGCGCGUACUGAGUGAAACCAGUGACGGAAAACAUUGCGCAAGCGUAUAAAAUGAGGGGGCGGGAUAGGAUAGGUUAACCUUCGAGGCAAAAUUUGAAGACAGGUCCGCGGCAGAUUAAAGUUCUGAAGGUAACCAUCUGAAGGAAAUCCCCGUUCCCAUACCAUCCAUCCUAAACAGGUCUUGCACAUUAGAGGCUCAACAUGUUGAAACACUUAGUGGUCCUUCUGGCACUCUUCCACUUUUCAAAAACUGACGACACAAUUAAAGAAAUAAUUAUACAUCUAAGAGACCUUCGAGAUCAGCAGCAUCUCCUCACCUUUGUUUUAGAGAGCCCCUACUACCCUGGCAUAAGAAUCCACUGGAAUGUGGUAAUGGCAGUUUCAAGACAGUCUGUGUUCAAACAAUACAUUUAAUAUGCUUCUUGAUGUUCCAUUGCAAAAAGGUCAUUGCUCACGAACUGUUGCAAGCAUUAGACCAUGUUAAAAUAAUAUCUUCUCAUAACACUCAUCGACUUCAGGAAACUGUGAAUAAACUGCAAAUCAAUAUUGAAGGAUUGAUUGCAGGAGACCAAUUUAAAAGCACUAUUAAAGCAGAGGAGGACUGUGCCAAAGACAAAAUCAUGUUUGUUAAGAUCAACAGCAUGGCAAACUCAGCAUUUAUAGAUCGUUAUAUAAGGUUUUUCCAAGACUGGCUUUCAAAUAUAUCAUGAGCAUCCAUUAUCCUAACCCACUCAGCUAAAAUAAUGUAUUUGAACAUUGGAUGCAUUUCAAUGGCAAAUCAGGGAUCAAUGUAUUGCCAACAAAUUAAUUUUCCCAAUGUCUUGAAUUAUUUCACAAGUAAGAUGUAAGGUUGAUGUAUGGUGUAUUACUUUUACAUUUAUUCAUUAAGCUGACACUUUUAUCUUACAGCAAGAGGAUGAAUGUAACUAAUGAACGAGUGUAUAACUAAGUGUGAUGAAAGUUUUUAUUGUGUUUAGUUGCUUUUUCAUUUCUGCCAAUUUUACAGCUUUGUUAUGUAUUUUUCGAACUUUUGUUCAGUUUUUGGUGACCCUUAUCUAAAGCCUUAUGACACCUCAUGGGUCUCCAUGAUGGAGUCAAGCAUGUGCCUCUUUUCUUUUAAUCAGACAAGUGUAUAAACUAGACAAACAGAUAACUAAAUCAUAAAUUAUGUAAUUUGUCACCAAGUGUUUUACUUUUUUGUUGUAUAUUGGUUUUGUUUUAGAACUGAUCAGUAUUUAUUUACAGUAAAAAAUGGUUACAUGAAA